rnacentral:antisense_RNA from 1 species
GGCGGAGAGUAGAGAGCUAGAGGGUGAGAAGCGCUGGGCCGGACCAGAACUGUCUUCGCUUUUCCCUCUGCGGCUGCUCUGGUUGGUUACUUUGAGCCUUCCUCCUCAGCGCCGCAGGAGAGACUUAACAGCAAAAAUGACUGUGUCCUGAGUUCAGCCCCCACUGCUCUGGGAGCUUCCCCCUGGUUUCUGCACCUGAAGAAUGUCAUCCCAGCCGAAGGUUCUUAGGAGCGGGGAGCGACAAAGAAAAACAAAGAAAAGCAGACCUGAAAAUUGGGACCUGGGAGAAAUAGACGAGUGCUCUAAACCAGUAUCAUGGCUCCAGUUCCUCUGACAAGGAUUCACAUGGG